rnacentral:lncRNA from 1 species
CAGGUGAGGAAACAGGGACACACCUUCCCGGAGGAGGGGCAGGGCCCCUCCGCGCGCGAGCCCCAUUGGUGUGAAAGAAGCUCCCGCGUCAGAGCUGGGAAGUGCCGGGCCGGCGGGGAGGGGAGCCCGGGCGCACGGGCCAGGCCGCGGGCUGUCCCAGGGAGCCCCGAGGGCGCGGUGCGCGGGCGCAGGUCGGGCGCAGGCGGGGUGACCCGGGGAAGGGGCGCGCACAGAGACAGAGGGAGCCAGCCGGGCCCCACGGUGUCCUCGGACGCCUCCGAAAUCUCCCUGCGUGUUUGUUUCUUCGGAGCUUCACCGGAGCCUGACUCUGGAACCGGCCUGUCUGCCUGCUGCAGUCUGUCAUUCAACAUUUAUUCAACCAAAAAUACUAAGUCAGCUCUAUACAAACUAAUGGAAGGAUACAGCUAUGCAAAUAUAGAACACUAAAGUGUUACAUGACAGAUGUAUGAGUCUUGGAUAUGUCUUUAUCAGCAGUAUGAAAACUGACUAAUACAGUAAAUUGGUACCAGUGGAGUGGGGCGCUGCUGAAAAGAUACCUGAAAAUGUGGAAGCGACUUUGGAACUGGGUAACAGGCAGAGGUUGAAACAGUUUGGAGGGCUCAGAAGAAGACAAGAAAAUGUGGGAAAGUUUGGAGCUUCCUAAAGACUUGUUGAAUGGCUUUGACAAAAAUGCGGAUACUGCUAUGGACAAUAAGGUCCAGGCUGAGGUGGUCUCAGAUGGAGAUGAGGAACUUGUAGGGAACUGGAGCAAAGAUGACUGUUGUUAUGUUUUAGCAAAGAGACUGGUGGCAUUUUGCCCCUACCACAGAGAUUUGUGGAACUUUGAUCUUGAGAGAGAUGAUUUAGGGUAUCUGGCUGAAGAAAUUUCUAAGCAGCAAAGCAUUCAAGAGGUGAUUUGGGUGCUGUUAAAAGCAUUUCAUUUUAAAAGGGAAACAGCAUAAAAAUUUGGAAAAUUUGCAGCCAGUUGAUGCAGCAGAAGAGAGAAACCUGUUUUUUGAGGAGAAAUUCAAGCUGGCUGCAGAAAUUUGCAUAAGUUACAGGGAGCUGAAUGUUAAUCUCCAAGACAAUGGGGAAAAUGUCUCCAGGGCAUGUCACAGGUCUUCAUGGCAGCCCCUCCCAUCACAGACCCUGAAGACUAGGAGGAAAAAAUGGUUUUGUGGGCCAGGCCCAGGGUCCCCAUGCUGUGUGCAGCCUAGGGACUUGGUGCCCUGCAUCCCAGCUGCUCCAGCCAUUGCUAAAAGGGCCGAGGUACAGCUCUGCCCGUGGUUUCAGAGGGUGCAAGCCCCAAACCUUGGCAGCUUCCAUGUGGUGUUGAGCCUGCAGGUGCAUGGAAGUCAAGAAUUGAGGUUUGGGAACCUCCAUCUAGAUUUCAGAAGAUGUAUGGAAUCACCUGGAUGCUCAGGCAAAAGUUUGCUCCAGGGGCAGAGCCUUCAUGGAGAACCUCUGCUAGGGCAGUGUGAAGGGAAAUGUGGGGUUGGAGCCCCCACACAGAAUCCCUACUGGGGCACCACCUAGUGGAGCUGUGCAAAGAAGGCCACCGUCCUUCAGACCCCAGAAUGGUAGAUCCACCGACAGCUUGUACCGUGCACCUGGAAAAGCCACAGACCCUAAACGCCAGCCCGUGAAAGCAGCCAGGAGUGGGGACUAUACCCUGUGAAGCCACAGGGGCAGAGCUGCCCAAGACUAAGGGAACCUACCUCUUGCAUCAUUGUGACCUGGAUGUGAGACAUGGAGUCAGAGGAGAUCAUUUUGGAACGUUAUAAUUGGACUGCCUCGCUGGAUUUUGGACUUGCAUGGGGCUUGUAACGCCUUUGUUGUGGGCACUUUCUCCCAUUUGGAAUGGCUGUAUUUACCCAUUACCUGUAUCCCCAUUGUAUGUAGGAAGUAACUAGCUUGCUUUUGAUUUUACAGGAUCAUGGGUAGAAGGGACUUGCCUUGUUUCAGAUGAGACUUUGGACUACGGACUUUUGGGUUAAUGCUGAGAUGAGUUAAGACUUUGGGGGACUGUUUGGAAGGCAUGAUUGGUUUUGAAAUGUGAGAACAUGAGAUUUGGAGGGGCCAGGGGCAGAAUGAUAUGGUUUGGCUGUGCCCCCACCCAAAUCUCAACUUGAAUUGUUAUCUCCCAGAAUUCCCAGGUGUUGUGGGAGGGACCCAGGGGGAGGUAAUUGAAUCAUGGGGGCCGGUCUUUCCCAUGCUAUUUUUGUGAUAGUGAAUAAGUCUCAGGAGAUCUGAUGGGUUUAUCAGGAGUUUCUGCUUUUGUUUCUCUCUCAUUGUCUCUUGCCGCUGCCAUAUAAGAAGUACCUUUUGCCUCCCACUGUGAUUCUGAGGCCUCCCCAGCCAUGUGCAACUAACUGGGAAGAAAGGACCCUGAAAAGUUAGCUGGUUCCAAGUGACCCUCCAAGGGGAAGAGUGCUGGAUUCAGAGCCCACCUCAGGGGAAGACAGGACCCUCUCCAAGAUGGUUUCCCUAGAAGCUACUACCUCUCCCUGGAGGGUGGAGAUAUUUGCUGGUCAAAGCAAGAAGGCCCUCUGCAGAUGCUGACACCUUGAUAUUGGACUUCCCAGAUUCCAGAACUCUGAGAAAUAAAUUUCUAUUUUAAAUAAAUUACCCAGUCUGUGAUAUUCUGUUAUAGCAACACAAAAUGGACUUAGACGGUAUGCUAAUGAGAUGACUGCUGGCAGGGAGCUCUGAAAUAACUUUAGGAUAGGGGCUGGUUACUACAAAAACAAAGGCAUGUUUAGUGGGUUGGGACUUUCAGCCUAUACCUCAACCUCUGGGGAGGGGAGAGGGCCUGAAGUUUGAGUUGAUCACUAAUGGCCAAUGAUGUAAUCAAUCAUGCCUGUGUAAUGAAGGCUUUACAGAAAACCAAACAGGGUUUGCAGACUUUCUUGAUUGCUGAACACAUGGAGGUUCCUGGAGGGUGGUGUGCCCAGAGAGGUCAUGGAAGCUCCAUGCCCCUUCUCCAAUACCUCACCAGAUGCAUCUCUCUCAUCUGGAUGUUCAUCUCUAUCCUUUGUAAUAUCCUUCGUAGUAAAUGGUCAAACUUAAGUAAAGUGUUUCCCUGAGUUCUGUGAGCCACUUUAGCAAAUUAAUUGAGCCUAAGGCGGGGGGUCAUGAGAGUCCCAAUGUAUAGCCAGUUGAACAGAAGCACAGGUCGCAACCUGAGGCUUGCAAUUACCAUCUGUAGUGUUGGGUGGGGGGAACAGGCUUGUGGGAUCUGACACUGUCUCCCAGUAGAUAGUGUCAGAAUUGAAUUGAUUUUUAGGGCAUGCAGUCGGUGUCCAUUGCAGAUUGCUAGGUGUGUGGGGAAAAACCUCAACGUAUCUGUUGUUAGAAGUAAAUUGUUGAGUGACUGUGUGAGUAUAAGCAAAGGAGUAGGAAAAGCACCUUUGGUUUUUUCAAUAUUUUAGAGAAUCCAGAUGUCUUGGCUCUGAGCCAGUCAUCUGAGGACCAAACCAGGCCGUGCCUAGUAGUGAACCUCUUCUCUUGACCCAACAAGAUUACAAAAAUUAAAAACAAACGAAUAAACAGAGACAGGUCAAAAAAAGUAAACAAAAACCAAAACAGCAAGUCAAAUGAAAGCAGGGCUCUUAAUCAAAGUUCAUCAAGAAGGUAAGAAAAAUUGAUAUGGUCUGGGAAAACAUCAGAGCUGUGAGACAGCAUUCCAACUCUUGUUUUUCUCCCACUUUUUCUUUUUUCUUUUCUUUUCUUCCC